ACAGACAUGUUGGGCCGCCCUCAACUUUGCUAGUGAUGCUGAAGCCGGUGAUUUCAGCAAUGUCAUCGAAGUUAAGCUAAGGGCCAAGCAUAAGCGUGACGGAGGCACAAAAAAACGCCGCGCUCCAGAAGCAGCAGUCCGGAAUCGACCCAAACAUGCCCCUCCAGUGCCAACCCAAAUUAACAUCCAGCCAUCUCCGACAAUUAACACCACCACCACCACCACCACCACCAACACCAACACCGCCACCAGUAAGAAGAAAAACAAGAAAGACCAAGGGAAGAAAGCAAGGCUGAACAAGGCUGA